AUGAAAUUCACCUUCUCAUAUGAUUGCCGCACAUUCAACUUCCUAGUUGACAAAGAAUUUGUGUUCCUCGUGGUAGCUGAUGAAGCAGCUGGAAGAAGUGUUCCAUUUGUGUUUCUAGAACGUGUCAAGGAUGAUUUCAUGCACCGCUAUGGACAAAGUAUCAGUGGUAACAACUCCCAUCCACUCAUUGAUGAGGAAGAUGCUGAUAUGUUUGGGGACAGAUUUAGCACUGCUUACAGUCUUGAUAGGGAAUUUGGUCCAAGGCUGAAGGAGCAUAUGGAGUAUUGUAUAAAUCAUCCAGAGGAAAUGAGCAAACUUUCAAAGCUAAAAGCUCAUAUAACUGAGGUUAAAGGAAUAAUGAUGGAUA